GGCGGCGGAAGAUAACCCAAAAGGGAUUCCUUCAGUAAUGGCGAAUGAACGGGGAAAAGCUCAGCAAAGAAAUCAGGGACCCCGUCCUUGAGUUGUGGACUUGAGAGGUAUUGCCAAUGGUGGCGCAGGUGCGGGCCUCUUGGAAAAGGGCACCACAGAGGGUGUGAGUCCUGUUUGUCAUCUGUAGUCCGCCAUGUACGGCGUGCCUCCUCAGAGUCACGUUCCUUGGAAUUGGAGCGCGAAGGUGGUGGUGGCUUUCAUCUCAAGCUAAAUAUGGGUUCGAGACCGAUAGCAAACAAGUACCAUGAGGGAAAAUUGAAAAGAGCUUUGGAAAGAGAGUUAAAAGUGCCCGAACUUGCUGAUAGGGAAGCGAAGGGAGCUGACGUUGCUUGGUGACAUUUUCCGCGCAAGUGUAGGAUGGGUUCUGAUUGCGAUGUGCGUAGUGCUUCUUGCCGUGCGUGUCGAUGCCAAGCAACAAGUGGGGAGAGCACCAGGGAUAUGAUUGUUCUGUCCCCGGGUGGACGAAGGUGCCUGGUCGCAUCCAUUUGUGGGCUGAAACAAGUGGUGGCUGGUUGCAGCGCUCCAUAACUGCCAGGCAGUUGGGGUGUAGCCCUGAUACGCAGACGAGGACAAAGUGCUUCUGUUCGACCCGUCUUGAAACACGGACCAAGGAGUCUGACACUCAUGCAAGCUCGCGGGUGGGUAAACUUGUUCGCGUAAUUAAGGUGUCUGUUGUGAUUUUUGCACCAACGCCCGACCAAUCAAUUGAGAGAGGUUUGAGUGUGAGCAUUUCUGUCAGGACCCGAAAGAUGGUGAACUAUGCUUGAGAAGGGUAAGUUCAGGGGAAACUCUGAUUGAGGCUCGUAGCGAUACUGACGUGCAAAUCGUUCGUCAUACUUGGGUAUAGGGGCGAAAGACUAAUCGAACC
rnacentral:rRNA from 1 species